rnacentral:rRNA from 1 species
CCGCGCAUAGCUCAUUACAACAGCUGUAUUAUACACGUAUAAAUAGUUAUAUGGAUAACUAUGGAAAAUCUGGAGCUAAUACAUGCAAUAAUGCAUUUAUUAUGUAUCAUAAUAAAUGUGCAAAUAUUAGUAACAAAAACCAAUUCUCUUUUGAGAUUAUUUUGUUGAACUCUGGAUAAUUAAAUACCUAUAAUUUCGUAAGAAAGUAGGAAAAACGUGUAUGCAUCUGCCCUAUCAUACUUGAUGAAAAUGUAUAGUAUUUUCAUGGUUGUAACGGGUAACGGAGAAUUAGGGUUCGACUCCGGAGAGAAUGCCUUAGAAACAGCUUUCACAUCCAAGGACGGCAGCAGGCGCGAAAAUUACCCAAUCUCAGUAUGAGGAGGUAGUGACGUGAAAUGACAAGUAAAAUUUCGUAAAAGAAAUUUUACAUUGGAAUGGUUGAAAUAUAAAUUAUUCCAAGAAUCAAGGAGAGGGCAAGUCUGGUGCCAGCAGCCGCGGUAAUUCCAGCUCUCCUACUGAAUCAAACCACUGUUGCGGUUAAAAAGUUCGUAGUUGCAAGUAUAUAUAAAAUAAAUCCCUGUUUUAUUUUUUAUUUGUGUAAAACAUAUAAAAAAUAAAAUAUUAUUUAUUUAUAUAAAAAAAUGAUAUAAAUUUUUAUAAAUUUAUAUUAUUUUGUUACUUUGAGUAAAUCAAAGUGAUCAAAACAUGCGUAAAAGCAUGUAUGGUUGUCCAAGGGAUAACAUGACAGUAUUGUUUAAACUGUUUGUUGGUUUUAAUUAAUCAUACAUUGAUUAAUAGGGACAGUUCGGGGACAGAGGUAUAACUUGGCGAGGGGUGAAAUCCGUUGACCCUAGUUAGACCAUCUAAAGCGAAAGCAUCUGUCAAGGAUGUUUUCUUUAAUCAAGAACGAAAGUUGGAGGAUCGAAGACGAUUAGAUACCGUCCUAGUUCCAACUAUAAACGAUGCCAUCCAACGAUUCUAUUUUUGUAUAUUAAUAUGCAAUAUAGAGGAGUUUACCGGAAACGUAGAGUUUUUCGGUUCCGGGGGAAGUAUGGUUGCAAAACUGAAACUUAAAGGGAUUGACGGAAAGUCACCACCAGAAAUGGAGCUUGCGGCUUAAUUUGACUCAACACGGGAAAGCUUACUCAGUCUAGACACUAAGAGGAUUGUCGUAGUAAUACUACUACAAGAUAUGGUGCAAAGUGGUGCAUGGCCGUUCUUAGUUCGUGGAGCAAUCUGUCUGGUUAAUUCCGAUAACGAACGAGAUUAGAACAAAUAUAUGUUCAUAAUUAUUGUUAUUAUAACAAUAAUAAAUAAGUACAUAAUGGAUACGUAACAUUUAAGUUACAUGAAAACUAGUAAUAACAGGUCUGUUAUGCCCUUAGUUGUCUGAGGCUGCACGCGUGCUACAAUGGAAAUUGCAGUGCGUAAAUAUUUUGAAAAAAAUAUUUAAACGUGUUAAAUUAUUCCGCAUUCGGGAUCAUAUACUGUAAUUGUAUAUGUGAACGAGGAACUUCAAGUAAGUGUAUGUCAUUAUCAUACGCUGAUUACGUCCCUGUCUUUUGUACACACCGCCCGUCGCUGCCUAUGAACUGUAUUAAUAUAAGAAAUUAUUGGAGGAAAUGUAUAAAUAUUUUUAUAAUAUAUAUAUAUUCUAAAGAUAAUUGAU